UACGUAGGCAGCGAGCGUUGUUCGGAGUUACUGGGCGUAAAGCGUGCGUAGGCGGUGGUCCAAGUCUGGUGUGAAAUCUCCCGGCUUAACUGGGAGGGUGCGCCGGAAACUGGGCCGCUGGAGUACGGGAGAGGCAAGCGGAAUUCCAGGUGUAGCGGUGAAAUGCGUAGAUAUCUGGAGGAACACCGGUGGCGAAGGCGACGUCCUGGACCGGCAUUGACGCUGAGGCGCGAAAGCCAGGGGAGCAAACGGG
rnacentral:rRNA from 1 species